CCGUAAAUCCAGGCCACUAUCCACAAACUCUAAAUCUUCAAUUCCUUAAAAUGAUUUCCUCAAAGGUUACAAUACCAAAGUGGACCAAAUUGGGGGGGAGGGGCCUGGGAUCACUUUUAAUUCCGCUGGUUCAUCCCCGUCGCAAUUAAUCCUUCUAUAAUGUACCCCUUGGACUCAAACUUCAAGUGGUGUUUUAUAAACUUGCAGUAAGUUAUAAUAGUAUGAUUAUUUACUUAUGAUGUAUUUGAAGGUUCUCCUUUAAUAUACUUCAAUUUCAGGACCAUGAGGCAGGGUUUGGAAAAAUUCGCAACAUUUCAGUGCUGCAUUUCAUUUGCUCUGGUCACAUUUUUAUUUUCAAUCCCCAUAAAACUGUUCCUCUAAAUUUAACUAGCCGCUACAUUUUCAACUACCAUAUUUUCAAGAAUGAAUGAGGCAUAUAUUCAUUUCGAACGUCGGGCUCUCGUGACAAGUGAUAGGAACACAGUAUUUAAUCCUGGUGUCCUUUUUAAAACGUUAUUUCUUUGAAUUCCCGUGGCUCCGACUCUCCGUCUAGGCAAGUUUUUCCAGGCGAUUAAAACAAAACCUGCACGUGCAAAACUAAAAAGUUAGUAUUUUAAGGCCGUGGCGGCAAAUCCCUAAUGCACAAAGGCAAAGACACCCCUGGCGUCCGGACUAGUGCGGGGCAAGAUCACAUUCCACCUACCCUAGCCCCUACGUCGGAAAGCCCCGGGCCCGAGCCCCCCGGGAAGUCAGGACCAGCGUGCAGGGCCCGCCCCGGGGCCGAGUUUUCAAUGGAAGCCGAGAGGAUGGGGGCGGGAAGGAGCGGAAGCUCCGGGUGCAAACGGCGGCGACCGACCUGCGGUUUAUUUCUCUUCCCGGGGUUUUCAGACUGGGCACAGUCUGUCCCAGCAGGGACAGAACGCCAGCGGGGUGCCUGAGGCGGGUAGGAAGGCGACGCCGCAGGCCCCGGCCGACAGGGACGGAGGCCGCGCAGGCAGGGCUCAGACCCCGGCCCCUGAAAGCACUUUCGAUGUGUCUCCCACCCCCCACGACAAGAUGGCGACGUGGACAGCGGGGGAGCCGACCGGCGAGGUUACCCAACCACGGGCCACGUCACCGCACUCUGCCUUGGAACCUAAUGGAACUCUCGUCUUCCACUGUUUCUGCAGUGGAGUUUGAUUACUAAGUAAAUGCAAAUAAAAAUUUAAAACAAAUCCUUCUUAUUGUAAACUUCUCAAGGGAAGGAGUUAGCGUUGCGAGAAAUCUUAACAUCUGAAAUUAUUCAAAGCAUUUACAAAUAGGUGUAAGUAGUCUUAAUAAAUGAGACGUAAAUCUGAGCUUCAGGGAAGGAAUCAGAAAAAAGGUUUUAGACAGACUUUUGUUCUGGUUUCUUGCCUCAUUAAAAGUGGAAGACAAUCUUUAGAUUGAGACUUACCGCCUUGAGUUGACUGCCCUGUGGACUAGACAGACAGAGACAGAAGGACUCGCCAAACCCUCACCUAGGGCGGGAGGCCACGGAACCCGAGUUAACUCCGUAGGGUGAGAUCAGUAUUGCUUCAUUACUAACGUGAUCUUGACAGCCACUGAUUAAGAAUCAGUUUUUGACUUUGAAAGCGUAAGUUUAACUUUGUCAGUCUUUUAAGGUAAAAAAGAAUAUAUUUUGAACUCAGCAAAUAAGCAUUACAUACAUAUUUCCACUUGACACUAGAUUUUACUUCUCACCUUUGUCAUAUCAGCAUAUUGUUACAAUCUAGCUUUGGGUUAUAUAUUAAUUAAUGUGGAUAUCUGUGGCGGAUUUCAAUUACGUUGGUUCAUAAAAACAAUGGUCUAUAUAAGAUAGCAUUAAACCGUUUUUAACUGGUCAGUAGAUUUUUUUAAAUUAGAGCCAUAAAGAUAAGGUUAAAGAUUGAUCUCAAAUAUCACUUUUGUUUUUCAGAUCUACAAAGCCUAAUGAUACGUAUUCUAGAAAAGAACCACGGAAAAUGCCUGGAAUGAGGAAAGGACUGAAAAUAAUUAUUCAUUUUUUAAAUUGUGGAAUGACUAACUCUGGAUGUUAUAAAACCUUUUAGUUUAAUAUUCCACAAAAGUAGUGUUAAGAACACUGGCUCCAGUGUUAAGAGUGGGCUUGAAUAUCUGACUUAACUAGGGAGUCAUUUCACCUUUCUUGCUCAGUUUACUCAUCUGUAAAAUAGGGAUAAGUGUCUGUGCCAUGGAGCCCUGGUGGCACAGCGGUUAAGCAUUCGGCUUCUGACCAAAAGGUCGGCAGUUUGAAUCCACCAGCCACUCCUUGGAAACCCUAUGGGGCAGUUCUACUUUGUCCUAUAGGAUCACCUGAGUUGCAGUCGACCUGAUGACAAUGAGUUUUCGGUCUGUGCCAUAGAAUUAUGGGACGAUUAAAUGAGAACAUAGGUGUAAAGCACUUAGAACAGUACCUGGCACUUAGUAAGCAAUUGAUAAAUGCUAGCUGUUAGUAUUGUUGUUGGUUUUGUUUUCAUUAUUAUUACCCCCAAAUUUGUGCCUCUGCUAUCCAAGCAUGUCAAUUAGGUUCAUAUAAAUUCACAUAUAUCUUCUCUAUUUCCAAUCUGCAACUGCCCAUGGUGUUCCCAUCCUUGUAUAUGACCAUGGCUAUAGAAAUCUUCAGUCAUUUUCUUUCUCAUUAUUCUUAUAAGCUGUUCUCUCUGGCCAGCAAUUAAAGCUGUAGUGUAUAAUGUCUGUGACAUCAGAAGUUGAGUAUUUUGUAAGAGCAAAUCUAAGUCAUUAAAAAUUUUUUAAUCAUUUUAAAAGAUUAAAUAAGAUCAUCAUUCAAUCACCAAAAGAUGUUUUAACAUAUUCCCCAAAGUUCAAUUUUCCUUUCCAAAAUGUAUAAACUAUAUUUUAUGUGUGAAUGUUUAUGUAUGUAUGUAUAUACAAACAUGAACAUGGAAAGCAGUAGCAUACACACACAUAUAGGAACAUGGAAAACAUUAAUAUUCAACCAACUAGCUUUCAUGUAAUUACAGAGGACCCUAACUGUAUCCCUAAUUCAAUCAAUCCUGUUAAAUAACAGAAUUCCAAAAAGCAAAAUUUGCUGUGGGAUAAAAUUUUAAAUCACUCCCUUUACAGCCACCUAUUAAUAAAUGUAUAGGUUAUUACUAUAAGUAUGUUUAAUCACUUUUUGAUCUUUUUAAGUGUCCAAGGUUCAUUUCAAGUCACUUCGCAGAACUUUUAAAGUGACUACAAGGUUACUUGCAAAUGAUUUAACCUGCAUUUAGUAGAAAGUUGGGCAGAGAUUGAGAAGCAAACGAGGUGAAACUUGAAAUUUAUAUUAACCAGUUGUCGUGGAGUGACUCCUACUCAUGACAACCCCAGGUGUGUCAGAGUAGAACUGUGCUCCGUAGUGUUUUCAGUGGCUGAUUUUUCAAAUGUAGAUCACCCAGCCUUUUCUUUAGAGGCGUCUCUGAGUGUACUCAAACCUGGACCAACCUUUCAGUUAGCAGUGGAGUAAUUAUCCUUGUGCACCCCCAGGGGCUCCGGAAUUUAUAUUACUACUAAGUAAUAUAGAACAUCUAGUCUUUUGAAAAGUGAAACAUCAGAUUCAGGUAAUUUGAAGUGUAUCAAACUAUAUAAGAAGAUUUAGUGGCUAAUGUGAUUCUUGGCUUACUAUUACCCUUAGGUGGUGGUGGGUUCCCCCUCACCCUUUUAUGUAUUCUCUGGCAACAACAACAAAAAAGGGUACAAUUUGGAAGAAAAGUGCUUAGAAGAUAAAACCAAAAAAUCUGUUGCCAUCUAGUCGAUUCAGACUCACAGUGACCCUAAAGGACAGAGUAGAACUGCCCCCAUAGGGUUUCCAAGGAGCGCCUGGUGGUUUCAAACUGCCAACCUUUUGGUUAGCAGCUGUAGCUCUUGACCACUGUGCUGCCACUAGGGAUCCGCUUAGAAGAUAGCAGGCAUUGCAAAUCUUUUAUUUAUUUAUUUUUUGUUUCAAGGAUCAAAACAAAAUAAAUAUGUAUUUCGCCUGAGUUUAUGAAGAAUAUGAUAGACGACUGAAAAUUUAACAUUAGCACAUUUCAAUUAUGAUCAACAUUUUUAGUACAAUUAAAAAAAAAUGAAUACCCUUCUGAAGUCAAGUUUUUGUAUCUUGCCAUAACUACAUAUGUGCAUGGUUAUGGAUGUUAUAGCAUACAUAUUAUGUUAUGGAAAUGCUAUGCUAUCCAUAUGUGGAUAUGUUAAGGAUGUAGUUAAAAAAUUCAAAUACUGCAAAUGAACAAAUACAGAAAACUAAGUCUCCCUGAUCUCCCUUGCCUCUUCCUCCUCUUUGAAGGUACCCACUGCUACAAAUUGUUUAUAUAUCUAACCAGAGAUAUCUUAUUAGUAUGCCAAAAGACCUAUGUGUCCUAUCAUUUUUGCACAAAUGAUAGAAUAGUAUACGCUUUGUUUACGCACCGAAUUUGUUUCGUGCAAAAAAUUAUCAGGUCAUAUAUAUCUGAUAUUUAAGAUAAUUUAUAAUAAAAUAAACAGGUGUAUAAUGAAGUAGAAUGCAAAACUGCACUAAUUUUAAAAUAAAAUUAAUAUUAACAUUAAUAUUUAUGAGCAAGGAUCUUUUCAAUUUUAUUGCAAAUAUAUUUAGGUUUCUCUAGGCAGGUUAGAAAAGAGAAGUUUAGCAGCUGGAAACUUGAGAAAGACAAAGUUUCAGACGUUGCUUUGGGUAAACCCCACAUGUCAAUGUCCUUAUCUGUUGUGAAAGCUAUCAACCAAAGAAAUUACAAAUAGAGAAAAUUGCUUUCUACCUAUAUCCACUCUUCUAAUCAGUUAAAAACAUGAUUUUUAUUCUCCUUGUCCUGACUAUUUGUAGAUGACUACUCUAAUUUUGCAUAUCCCACAUCAUUUUUCGGCUGCACAAACAGAACACUACAUCUGUUCAUUGUAAAUAAAUGACUAACAAUUUCAAAAUUUAGUUCAAACCAGGUUAGAUUUACUUGAUUUUUAUGAAAUUAAAGAGUGAAAAGUACACUAUAAAUUCAUGAAUUCUAUAGUAGGAGUUUUAAGAAUUCACCCACUAGAUUUUGAGCACGUUAUGAUUGUGAUAUGAAUUAAUAUAAUUAUUCUUUAUUGGGGGCCAAAAUUCAGAUUUGAUCACAUAUCCCUAGAGGAGACACAUCUUCAAGUUUUAUAUACAGCCUGCUGAAGUUCUGCCAAAACACUGUCGAACAAUAAGCCCUUGCUAGAUGUUGAACCUUCCAGGACAAUUUCUGUGCAUCUCCAUUCAACUUUGUUUCAAUGUUACAAAGAAAAUUUUAUUUUCAAAUAAUAAUACAGGCAGUCAGGUGAUGGAGGAUAGGCAAGAGAAUCUUAAAAUAAUUCUUAAGACAGAAGCGCUUACUUUUAUAAGCUGUGUGAUAUAAUCAUUCUCUCCAAAAUAACUGGUUUCUUUCAGGAAGAGAAUACUACCAGAACAUUAAAAAUUGAAUGAACAUGGCACUUACAGGGCAUUUUUCCUUUAGAUGUUAAUUACUACUACAAAUUGUGUUUUUUUUAUCUUUGCAUUUAAAAGCAACCAUUUUUUAAAUGAAAAACUGUAAUAAAAAUUAAAGCAAAAAUGAAAGAAGGAUCUUACAUGGCCUAAAAUUUAUCCUAGCUUGGUUUUUUCUUUUUUUUCCAUGUACACCAAGCCUCUGGCAACUCAUAUUUUCCAAAUUUUGGGUGGAUAAUGUUUUCUCUUUGAUUUUUUGUGAGUAACACAGAAACACUAGCUGUUUGGCUCUUAUAUUGGAAAACUUAUAAAGUUUCCUUGGUUAAGUGUGUCAGAACUUGCCUGUGAAGAACCAGAGGCACUCACAAGAACUUGAUUAAUUUUAUACCAGGACUUGCAAAGACAGGUUAGCUAUUCUCCUGUGUACAUUUAAAUUAAAUUACAUGGCUAAGGUCAGCAGCAGCAUGGGGAAAAAAUGUGGCAGUCUGCUUCCGCAAAGAUUCCAAACCAAACCCCUUUGCUGGUGGAGUCAAUUUCGACUCAUAGUGACACUAUAGCCUUGGAAACCCUAUGGGGUGUUUUAAUGUAUUCUGUAGGGUUGCUAUGAGUUGGAAUUGACUUGAUGGCAAUGGGUUUGAAUUUUUGUUACCAAAUAAGAGCCCUAGUGGUGCCGUGGUUAAGAGCAACAGCGGCAAACCAAUAAGUUGGUGGCUUGAAUUCACCAGCUGCUCCUUGGGAACCCUGUGAAGCAGUUCUACUCUAUCCUACAGGGUCACUAUGAGUUGGAAUCGACUGCACAGCAACGGGUUUUUUUGAAGUAAGUCAAAGAUUCACUCAACUAUCUUACUAUCAAGAAUCAUGAUACUAAGCAUGUACUAUAAAGUCACUGGAGCCCUGGUGGCACAGUUGUUAAGAGCUUGGCUGCUAACCAGAAGAUUGGCAGUUCAAAUCCACCAGCCACUCCUUGGAAACCCUGUGGGUCAGUUCUACUCUGUCCUGUAGGGUCACUGUGAAUCAGAAUCUACUUGAUGGCAAUGGUUUGAUUCUGUUUUUGACAGGGUUGCUAUGAGUUGGAAUGGACUCGACGGGCAACGGGUUUGGUUUUUUGGUUUAUGUGCCAAGGUUUGUCGUGGAACUUGGGAAUUGCAGAUGUUCUCAACCAACACUUUCUAGUCCUGACUACAUCUCCCUCCCUUACUUUCUGUCCACUCUUCUAGGAUUGCAAGGACAAAAGGAAGGCCAUCCAGAGAGUUGUUAAAAGUUUUUGUAUUUAGAUAGAUAAGCACCUGGACUUGUGAACUGUCACCUCUGUACCUCCUACAUGGCCAGGCAGAAAGAACACUUCUGCUCCUUGCUCCUUGGGCACUCUGCAAGCUGUAUUCCAGAUCCCGUUAGCAGGAUCUAUGGCAACUAGAAUCAGGGACAAGAGUUUGCCUCAAGGUCUUAUUACUACUGGCACUUCAUUGAUGCUUUCUGUUGCAUCAAGACAAAUCCUAGAGCUUGACUGUCCUAGAACUUGUGAUAAGAAAUAGCUGAGAAGAUUAUGUGAUGGGGAAAUAGUAGUCCAUCUUAAAACAGUAUCAUAUUGAUGUGGCAGCGAAUGCAUGGAUAUGCAUACAUACAUACAUAUAUAUAUAUAUAUGAAACCCUGGUGGCAUAGUGUUUAAGUGUUACAGCUGCAAACCUGAGGGUCGGUCAUUGGAGUCCACCAGGCACUCCUUGGAAACUCUAUAGGGCAGUUCUACUCUGUCCUAUAGGGUCACUAUGAGUCGGAAUCGACUCGAUGGCACUAGGUUUGGUUUUGGUAUAUAUAUAUAUAAGAUGCUGUCAAGUCAAUUCCUACUCAUAGGGACUCUAUGGGACAGAUUAGACCUGCCCCAUAGGGUUCCCAAGGAGCAGCUGGUGGAUUCAAACUGUUGACCUUUUGGUUAGCAACCGUAACACUUAACCACUACGCCACCAAGGUUUCCAUAUAUAUGUAUUUUUUUCCCCAAACACGUUGAACACACACAAAAUGGGUUAGAUAUUCUAUUAUAUGUAAAUUAUACCUCAAUAAAAUUGAUUAAAAAAUGACACUGUCAUAAAGAGGCUGGCCACAUGGCUAAUAACCUGAUCACUCUACCAUUCUUCUAAUUUCUGGCCCUUCCCUUGGUCUGAUCCCCACAGACUACAUUUCAAUUAUCAAUUAGUUGAUCACCUCGAUUUUAUUUACACCCUAGCUUUUGGUUGUUCAUCUUGGCUCUGUUCAUUGGCUCCUGAAUCUCAGGUUCAUUUUUCGGGGCUUUACGCACUCUGUUCCCACAGCUCCGACCAGAGGAAAUACAGCAGCUGGUUGCCAGCUGGCAUGAAGGAGGAUAAAAAAAAAAAAAAAACAGAA